GGAGGGGUGGCAGAGUCUGGCUGAUUGCACUGGUCUUGAAAACCAGCAAGGGGUUAAACCCUUCGGGGGUUCGAAUCCCUCCCCCUCCG
rnacentral:tRNA from 1 species